CAAUAGUGUAUAUUAAAGUUGUUGCAGUUAAAAAGCUCGUAGUUGAAUUUCUGGCGGGCGCGCCGGUCUUCCAAGUGUUGUACUGGGCGCAGUCCGCCAUCCUUGUGGAGAGGGCUCGCAUUGAGUUGCGUGUCGGAUCUGCAUCAUUUACUGUGAAAAAAUUAGAGUGUUUAAAGCAGGCUGUCGCUUGAAUACAUUAGCAUGGAAUAAUAAGAUAGGACUUCGGUCUAUUUUGUUGGUUGCGAACCGAGGUAAUGAUUAAUAGGGAUAGUUGGGGGUAUUCAUAUUUAAUUGUCAGAGGUGAAAUUCUUGGAUUUAUGAAAGAUGAACAACUGCGAAAGCAUUUACCAAGGAUGUUUUCAUUAA
rnacentral:rRNA from 1 species